AGAGUUUGAUCAUGGCUCAGGAUGAACGCUGGCGGCGUGCCUAAUACAUGCAAGUCGAGCGGAAAGGCCCUUCGGGGUACUCGAGCGGCGAACGGGUGAGUAACACGUGAGUAACCUGCCCUUGGCUCUGGGAUAAGCCCGGGAAACUGGGUCUAAUACCGGAUAUGACCCUUCACCGCAUGGUGUGGGGUGGAAAGUUUUUCGGCUGGGGAUGGACUCGCGGUCUAUCAGCUUGUUGGUGGGGUGAUGGCCUACCAAGGCGACGACGGAUAGCCGGCCUGAGAGGGUGACCGGCCACACUGGGACUGAGACACGGCCCAGACUCCUACGGGAGGCAGCAGUGGGGAAUAUUGCGCAAUGGGCGGAAGCCUGACGCAGCGACGCCGCGUGGGGGAUGAAGGCCUUCGGGUUGUAAACCUCUUUCACCACCGACGAAGCUAACGUGACGGUAGGUGGGGAAGAAGCGCCGGCUAACUACGUGCCAGCAGCCGCGGUAAUAC
rnacentral:rRNA from 1 species